rnacentral:rRNA from 1 species
CGUUUAUUUGAUAGUACCUUACUACUUGGAUAACCGUGGUAAUUCUAGAGCUAAUACAUGCUUGAAACCCCGACUUCGGGAGGGGUGUAUUUAUUAGAUAAAAAACCAAUGCCCCUCGGGGCUCCUUGGUGAUUCAUGAUAACUUUACGAAUCGCAUGGCCUUGCGCCGGCGAUGGUUCAUUCAAAUUUCUGCCCUAUCAACUUUCGAUGGUAGGAUAGUGGCCUACCAUGGUGUCAACGGGUAACGGGGAAUUAGGGUUCUAUUCCGGAGAGGGAGCCUGAGAAACGGCUACCACAUCCAAGGAAGGCAGCAGGCGCGCAAAUUACCCAAUCCCGACGCGGGGAGGUAGUGACAAUAAAUACUGAUACAGGGCUCUUUUGGGUCUUGUAAUUGGAAUGAGUACAAUUUAAAUCCCUUAACGAGGAACAAUUGGAGGGCAAGUCUGGUGCCAGCAGCCGCGGUAAUUCCAGCUCCAAUAGCGUAUAUUAAAGUUGUUGCAGUUAAAAAGCUCGUAGUUGAACCUUGGGCCUGGCUGGCCGGUCCGCCUCACCGCGUGCACUGGUCCGGCCGGGCCUUUCCUUCUGGGGAGCCGCAUGCCCUUCGCUGGGCGUGCCGGGGAACCAGGACUUUUACUUUGAAAAAAUUAGAGUGUUCAAAGCAGGCCUUUGCUCGAAUACAUUAGCAUGGAAUAAUGGAAUAGGACGUGUGGUUCUAUUUUGUUGGUUUCUAGGACCGCCGUAUG